UACGUAGGGUGCAAGCGUUGUCCGGAAUUAUUGGGCGUAAAGAGCGUGUAGGCGGCCCGAUUAGUCCGCUGUGAAAGUCAGAGGCUCAACCUUUGAAAGCCGGUGGAUACUGGAUGGCUAGAGUACGGAAGAGGCGAGUGGAAUUCCUGGUGUAGCGGUGGAAUGCGCAGAUAUCAGGAGGAACACCAAUAGCGAAGGCAGCUCGCUGGGACGUUACUGACACUAAGGCGCGAAAGCGUGGGGAGCGAACAGG
rnacentral:rRNA from 1 species